rnacentral:rRNA from 1 species
AGCUUGCUUCUCUGAUGUUAGCGGCGGACGGGUGAGUAACACGCUGGGUAACCUACCUUAUAAGACUGGGAUAACUCCGGGAAACCGGGGCUAAUACCAGAUAAUAUAUUGAACCGCUUGGUUCAAUGUUGAAAGACCGUUUCGGCUGUCACUUAUCGAUGGACCCGCGCCGUAUUACCUAGUUGGUAAGGUAACGGCUUACCAAGGCAACUAUACUUACCCGACCUGGGAGGGUGAUCGGCCACACUGGAACUGAAACACGGCCCACACUCCUCCGGGAGGCAGCACUACGGAACCUUCCGCAAUGGGCGAAAGCCUGACGGACCAACGCCGCGUGAGUGAUGAAGGUCUUAGGAUCGUAAAACUCUGUUGUUAGGGAAGAACAAAUUUGUUAGAAACUGAACAAGUCUUGACGGUACCUAAUCAGAAAGCCACGGCUAACUACGUGCCAGCAGCCGCGGUAAUUCGUAAGGGGCAAGCGUAAUCCGGAAUUAUUGGGCGUAAAGCGCGCGUAGGCGGUUUCUUAAGUCUGAUUGAAAUCCCAGGGCUCAACCGUGGAGGGUCUUGGGAACGUGGGGAACUUGAGUGCCGAGAAGGAGAGUGGAAUUCCCUGUGUAGCGGUGAAAUGGGCAGAGAUAUGGAGGAACACCAGUGGCGAAGGCGGCUCUCUGGUCUGUAACUGACGCUGAUGUGCGUAAGCGUGGGGAUCAAACAGGAUUAGAUACCCUGGUAGUCCACGCCGUAAACGAUGAGUGCUAAGUGUUAGGGGGUUUCCGCCCAUUAGUGCUGCAGUUAACGCAUUAAGCACUCCGCCUGGGGAGUACGACCGCAAGGUUGAAACUCAAAGGAAUUGACGGGGACCCGCACAAGCGUUGGAGCAUGUGGUUUAAUUCGAAGCAACGCGAAGAACCUUACCAAAUCUUGACAUCCUUUGACCGCUCUAGAGAUAGAGUUUUCCCCUUCGGGGGACAAAGUGACAGGUGGUGCAUGGUUGUCGUCAGCUCGUGUCGUGAGAUGUUGGGUUAAGUCCCGCAACGAGCGCAACCUUUAAGCUUAGUUGCCAUCAUUAAGUUGGGCACUGUAGGUUGACUGCCGGUGACAAACCGGAGGAAGGUGGGGAUGACGUCAAAUCAUCAUGCCCCUUAUGAUUUGGGCUACACACGUGCUACAAUGGAUAAUACAAAGGGCAGCGAACCCGCGAGGUCAAGCAAAUCCCAUAAAAUUAUUCUCUAGUUCGGAUUGUAGUCUGCAACUCGACUACAUGAAGCUGGAAUCGCUAGUAAUUGUAGAUCAGCAUGCUACGGUGAAUACGUUCCCGGGUCUUGUACACACCGCCCGUCACACCACGAGAGUUUGUAAUACCCGAAGCCGGUGGAGUAACC